rnacentral:rRNA from 1 species
GACGAACGCUGGCGGCGUGCUUAACACAUGCAAGUCGAACGGAAAGGCCCUGCUUUUGUGGGGUGCUCGAGUGGCGAACGGGUGAGUAACACGUGAGUAACCUGCCCUUGACUUUGGGAUAACUUCAGGAAACUGGGGCUAAUACCGGAUAGGAGCUCCUGCUGCAUGGUGGGGGUUGGAAAGUUUCGGCGGUUGGGGAUGGACACGCGGCUUAUCAGCUUGUUGGUGGGGUAGUGGCUUACCAAGGCUUUGACGGGUAGCCGGCCUGAGAGGGUGACCGGCCACAUUGGGACUGAGAUACGGCCCAGACUCCUACGGGAGGCAGCAGUGGGGAAUAGUGCACAAUGGGCGGAAGCCUGAUGCAGCAACGCCGCGUGCGGGAUGACGGCCUUCGGGUUGUAAACCGCUUUCGCCUGUGACGAAGCGUGAGUGACGGUAAUGGGUAAAGAAGCACCGGCUAACUACGUG